rnacentral:rRNA from 1 species
CCUACGGGUGGCAGCAGUGGGGAAUAUUGCACAAUGGGGGAAACCCUGAUGCAGCGACGCCGCGUGAGUGAAGAAGGAAUUCGUUAUGUAAAGCUCUAUCAGCAGGGAAGAAAAGGACGGUACCUGAGGAAGAAGCCCCGGCGAACUACGUGCCAGCAGCCGCGGGAAUACGUAGGGGGCAAGCGUUAUCCGGAUUGACGGGGUGUAAAGGGAGCGUAGACGGCAGGGCAAGUCUGGAGGGAAAGGCGGGGGCGCAACCCCCGGACUGCUCUGGAAACUGUCCGGCUUGAGUGCAGGAGAGGUAAGUGGAAUUCCUAGUGUAGCGGUGAAAUGCUUAGAUAUUAGGAGGAACACCAGUGGCGAAGGCGGCUUACUGGACUGUAACUGACGUUGAGGCUCGAACGCGUGGGGAGCAAACAGGAUUAGAUACCCCAGUAGUC